CAGAGGUGCCGAGCGUUAGGCGGAAUCACUGGGCUUAAAGCGUGUGUAGGCGGGUCGUUAAGUGCCUUGUGAAAUCCCACAGCUCACCUGUGGAACUGCUUGGCAUACUGGCGAUCUUGAGCCACUUAGGGGCAACCGGAACAAACGGUGGAGCGGUGAAAUGCGUAGAUAUCGUUUGGAACGCCAAUGGUGAAAACAGGUUGCUGGGAGUGCGCUGACGCUGAGACACGAAAGCCAGGGGAGCAAACGGGGUUAGAUACCCCGGUAGUCCUGGCCGUAAACGAUGUCGACUAGAUCGUGGCCGCUCUGACGCGGUCACGGUCGAAGCAAAAGUGCUAAGUCGACCGCCUGGGAAGUACGGUCGCAAGGCUA
rnacentral:rRNA from 1 species